rnacentral:rRNA from 1 species
GACGAACGCUGGCGGCGUGCCUAAUACAUGCAAGUCGAGCGCAGGAAGCUGACGGAACUCUUCGGAGGGAAGGCAGUGGAAUGAGCGGCGGACGGGUGAGUAACACGUAAGGAACCUGCCUCAAGGAUUGGGAUAACUCCGAGAAAUCGGAGCUAAUACCGGAUAGUUCAACGGACCGCAUGGUCCGCUGAUGAAAGGCGCUUCGGCCUCACCUUGAGAUGGCCUUGCGGUGCAUUAGCUAGUGGGUGGGGUAACGGCCCACCAAGGCGACGAUGCAUAGCCGACCUGAGAGGGUGAUCGGCCACACUGGGACUGAGACACGGCCCAGACUCCUACGGGAGGCAGCAGUAGGGAAUCUUCCACAAUGGACGAAAGUCUGAUGGAGCAACGCCGCGUGAGUGAUGAAGGUUUUCGGAUCGUAAAACUCUGUUGUAAGGGAAGAACACGUACGAGAGGGAAUGCUCGUACCUUGACGGUACCUUACGAGAAAGCCACGGCUAACUACGUGCCAGCCGCCGCGGUAAAAC